UUAAGUUCAAAGUAUCUUCUGUGGAGCGAAAGGCAAAAGCAGCCAUAACAGUGAGUUGGGUGAGAAAUCUGGCACUUCACAGUUCAUCCAAUUUGCAAGCCCAACAACCAAAAAGACAUGGCGCUAACGCCCGCACCGCCUGUCCAUGACGGGUCGCUUGUCCCGGAGGUCGACAUGGGCGCCGAACCAUCUGCAGCCACGGUCCGAGCCACUGUGGUCCAGGCCUCCACUGUCUUCUACGACACCCCCGCCACUCUAGAUAAGGCCGAGAGGUUGCUGGCUGAAGCGGUUGGGAAUGGGUCCCAGCUGGUUGUGUUUCCAGAAGCAUUUGUGGGUGGUUAUCCGCGGGGAUCCACUUUCGGUGUUACCAUUGGGAAUCGAACUGCCAAGGGCAAAGAGGACUUCCGCAGGUAUCAUGCAUCAGCCAUCGAUAUACCAGGUCCUGAAGUUGACCGUUUGGCAGCAAUGGCUGGAAAGUAUAAGGUGUAUUUGGUAAUGGGUGUGAUUGAGAGAGAUGGAUAUACACUCUACUGUACUGUUCUAUAUUUUGAUUCUCAAGGUGGUUACCUGGGAAAGCACAGGAAGCUUAUGCCAACAGCAUUGGAGCGUAUCAUCUGGGGAUUUGGAGAUGGAUCGACAAUUCCAGUUUUUAGUACACCAAUCGGAAAAAUAGGAGCUGCCAUUUGUUGGGAAAACAAAAUGCCACUUCUAAGGACAGCCAUGUAUGCUAAAGGCAUUGAAAUAUAUUGUGCACCUACGGCCGAUGCCAGGCCCAUAUGGCAAUCAUCAAUGACCCAUAUUGCCCUUGAGGGUGGAUGUUUUGUUUUAUCUGCCAACCAAUUCUGUCGAAGGAAAGAUUACCCCCCUCCUCCAGAGUAUGUAUUUUCAGGAACAGAGGAGGACCUCAUACCAGAUUCUGUUAUCUCUGCUGGAGGCAGUGUCAUUAUAUCGCCAUCAGGGGCUGUUCUGGCAGGACCCAAUUAUGAUGGGGAGGCACUCAUCUCAGCAGAUCUAGAUCUUGGAGAAAUAGCACGUGCAAAAUUUGAUUUUGAUGUGGUUGGACACUAUUCAAGGCCAGAAGUGCUAAGCUUGAUUGUGAGGGACCAUCCAACAAAACCGGUUACUUUCACAUCAGCAUCAGAGGAAACUGAAGGCGCUCACAAGUAAUUAUAAUGUUCACCAGCCAGCAUUAAUGGUACUUCUGCAAAAUAUGGGCCUUGUGUCAUAAAUAAUAGGAAGGGCACUGUUCUCAUAUAAAUGACAACUUGUCAGAACUCAGCAUCACUCUGCCUUAACCCCCCCUGGUACACAAUUUCACCAUCUUUGGUAAAUUUUCAUGGAACAGAUUCUGGUCCAGAUCUGAUUUGAUGUUUGCUUUGGUGGAGGUUAAUCCUUUGUGUCUGACAGAGACUGGCCAUGCCAUAGUGAAAAACCAGGCAGAGAAGAUAAAGAUGUCAAUCUAUCCUACAACUCUUUUAUAGUUCAACAUUCUGAAGGUACUCCUGAGAAAACAUUGUCUAGUGAUAAUGAGUGGAAGGUUUGGUGUUCAUGGCUCCUCAACAAACGAAACAAGCUGCAUGCACCAAACCAUAAUUAUUUGCAACUCCGAGUGAUUAAAGUGCCAAGAUGAACUUUCAAAGCGUCCAACUCAUAAGUUGAGUGGGGUCAAGCGUUCAUGCGAUAACGUCGAGUUGAAUGAUGGAAAUAACCCGAGAUAAGUUGAAUGUAGGCAAAGGUGUAUUCCCAUUUCCCACCACUGAAUAAAGAGAACUUCCAAAGGGGGAAGACCCCUACCCCCAUUUAUUAGUGCCAGACAUUGACAAGUCGAAGAGGGACAGUAAAGCCAGGGGUAAUGUAAAAGAAAACGGGGACAUUCAUGCACAGAGAGAUCUUUCCUUGCACGCAUUUUGUCUGGGCAUAGCCAAGCUCUAGGCCAACAUGUUGCCCACCUUAAUUUAUUUUGGCUGAAUGCUGAGUGUGAGUGCAUGUAGAUAGAGCCAAAUGAUCUCACCUCAUCACUUGCAUCCAAACUCCAGCAUGUCAUUCAAUCAUCUCGACCUUCUUCUCUCUAUUCAAACAAUGAAUGCAAUAUUAAUUUAGCCA